rnacentral:rRNA from 1 species
AGUGAACGCUGGCGGUAGGCCUAACACAUGCAAGUCGAACGGCAGCACAGGAGAGCUUGCUCUCUGGGUGGCGAGUGGCGGACGGGUGAGGAAUACAUCGGAAUCUACCUUUUCGUGGGGGAUAACGUAGGGAAACUUACGCUAAUACCGCAUACGACCUACGGGUGAAAGUGGGGGACCGCAAGGCCUCACGCGAUUAGAUGAGCCGAUGUCCGAUUAGCUAGUUGGCGGGGUAAUGGCCCACCAAGGCGACGAUCGGUAGCUGGUCUGAGAGGAUGAUCAGCCACACUGGAACUGAGACACGGUCCAGACUCCUACGGGAGGCAGCAGUGGGGAAUAUUGGGCAAUGGGCGCAAGCCUGAUCCAGCCAUACCGCGUGGGUGAAGAAGGCCUUCGGGUUGUAAAGCCCUUUUGUUGGGAAAGAAAUCCUGUCGAUUAAUACUCGGUGGGGAUGACGGUACCCAAAGAAUAAGCACCGGCUAACUUCGUG